rnacentral:rRNA from 1 species
UACGGAGGGAGCUAGCGUUGUUCGGAAUUACUGGGCGUAAAGCGCGCGUAGGCGGCUUUGUAAGUUAGAGGUGAAAGCCCGGAGCUCAACUCCGGAACUGCCUUUAAAACUGCAUCGCUUGAAUCCAGGAGAGGUGAGUGGAAUUCCGAGUGUAGAGGUGAAAUUCGUAGAUAUUCGGAAGAACACCAGUGGCGAAGGCGACUUCCUGGCCUGUUCUUGACGCUGAGGCGCGAAAGCUGGGGGAGCAAACGGG